rnacentral:rRNA from 1 species
UACGUAGGGUGCAAGCGUUGUCCGGAUUUAUUGGGCGUAAAGCGUCCGUAGGCGGUUUCGUAAGUCUGACGUUAAAGGCGCGGGCUCAACCCGUGUAGUGCGUUGGAAACUGUGAGACUAGAGUGCAUCAGAGGAAGUGGGAAUUUCCAGUGUAGCGGUGAAAUGCGUAGAUAUUGGAAGGAACACCAGUGGCGAAAGCGCGCUUCUGGGGUGUAACUGACGCUAAUGGACGAAAGCCAGGGUAGCGAAAGGG